UGCCAAAUUUCACGACAUGAUAGCAUGUUGACACAUUAUAGAGUAUGCCGAAUACGCCAUCAGACGUUCCAGUUUGCAACAUACUCACGGAUGAACAGUAAACUGUCAACGAAUAACUUUUAUGACGAAGAAAACCUUAAAACGUGAGGAUUCUCAGGCGAGUUCAGCAGUGAACUCCCACGCGACAUCUAAAAGCACAUUUCUGGACUUUCUUCCACGAUGGACACCGACGAGCAUGACACCCACUGAAGCUGCGACCGUCAAGCUGUGGCAGAGUCGCGGCGUUUCCUGAUCUCUCUUUGCCGACAGGCUGAACUGGAGGGCGUGGGACGGCCGGUAAGAGAACAAGGACGAGAGAACGGCAGUAGAAAGGAGGAGACGCAUGAAAUGAGAAGAAAUACGAGCAGCUGGGUGAUCUGCAGCGAUAGAAACAAUAAUGGAGAAUGAGGGACAAACAAAGAGUGGUGCAGUGUGAAAAAAGCCAAGGAAAAAAAAAGGGAAUUUUCCUGUUGAUAGAAGAUGUAAUCUGUGAGUGCUUGUUAUCUCAUCCUUAGGUGUGAAAUAGUGUUUUUUGAUAAGGAUCAUACCAUGUUUCAUGGUGUAACACAGGAGUCUCAAACUCAAAAUGACUUGGGGGGCCAAUGGACGUCUAGUCUGGUCACGAGGGGGACGGUCAAUUAGAAAAAAACUUUUUAGGGAAAAAGCAGCAUUUCCAUACAUGUUGGUGAUAUGAUCUUAAAACUAUAUCAUCAUGUUUAGUGCAAAAAUGUGUGUUAUUUUUGAUAAUA